rnacentral:rRNA from 1 species
GUGGGGAAUAUUGGACAAUGGGCGAAAGCCUGAUCCCGCCAUGCCGCGUGUGUGAAGAAGGUCUUCGGAUUGUAAAGCACUUUAAGUUGGGAGGAAGGGCAGUAAGUUAAUACCUUGCUGUUUUGACGUUACCGACAGAAUAAGCACCGGCUAACUUCGUGCCAGCAGCCGCGGUAAUACGAAGGGUACAAGCGUUAAUCGGAAUUACUGGGCGUAAAGCGCGCGUAGGUGGUUUUGUAAGUUGGAGGUGAAAUCCCCGGGCUCAACCUGGGAACUGCCUCCAAAACUGCAUGACUAGAGUACGGUAGAGGGUAGUGGAAUUUCCUGUGUAGCGGUGAAAUGCGUAGAUAUAGGAAGGAACACCAGUGGCGAAGGCGACUACCUGGACUGAUACUGACACUGAGGUGCGAAAGCGUGGGGAGCAAACAGGAUUAGAAACCCGGGUAGUCC